rnacentral:tRNA from 1 species
CAGUUAGUAGUUUAUUAAAAUUUUAAUUUUGGAGAUUAAAGAUGGGAUUAUUCCCCUUGCUGA